AGCAGCCGCGGUAAUUCCAGCUCCAAUAGCGUAUAUUAAAGUUGUUGCAGUUAAAAAGCUCGUAGUUGAAUUUCGGGGUUAGCAGGUCGGUCGUGCCAUUGGUAUGAACUGGUCUCGCUGAUCCCUCCCUCUUGACGAACUGUGAUGCCAUUAAUUUGGUGUCGCAGGGAAUCAGGACUGUUACUUUGAAAAAUUAGAGUGUUUAAAGCAGGCUCACGCUUGAAUACAUUAGCAUGGAAUAAUGAAAUAGGACGUUUGAUCCUAUUUUGUUGGCUUCUAGGAUUGACGUAAUGAUUAAUAGGGAUAGUUGGGGGCAUUAGUAUUCAAUUGUCAGAGGUGAAAAUUCUUGGAUUUAUUGAAGACUAACUACUGCGAAAGCAUUUGCCAAGGAUGUUUUCAUUAAUCAAGAACGAAAGUUAGGGGAUCGAAGACGAUCAGAUACCGUCGUAGUCUUAACCAUAAACUAUGCCGACUAGGGAUCGGAUGAUGUUAAUUUUUUAAUUGACUCU
rnacentral:misc_RNA from 1 species